UCCCAGAUAGUCUAGGUGGUUAGGAUACGCUGGCUCUCACCCAGCAGACCCGGGUUCGAGUCCGCGGUCUGGGAA
rnacentral:tRNA from 1 species